CAUCUACACGUUAAAUAUGAGCAUCGGGACGUCAACAAAGAACAGAAGACUUGAGAUCUGUCUCUCCAGGCAGCACCCAGCUAUUCUUCCAUCUUGCAGAUGAAAAGACUUUGAUAUCAUCUGGACACAGCAGGAAUCUACGCCAGGAUCCUGUUUGUGGACUUCAGCUCUGCCUUCAACACAACACUCUGGCUGGAGGCUGCGCUCCAUCAGGACCAACACCUCUCUCCCUCAGGACCAGAACCUCUCUCCAUCAGGACCAACACCUCUCUCCAUCAGGACCAGAACCUCUCUCCAUCAGGACCAGAACCUCUCUCCAUCAGGACCAAAACCUCUCUCCAUCAGGACCAAAACCUCUCUCCAUCAGGAC